rnacentral:misc_RNA from 1 species
GAUGAAGAACGUAGUGAAAUGCGAUACGUAAUGUGAAUUGCAGAAUUCAGUGAAUCAUCGAGUCUUUGAACGCACAUUGCGCCCUCUGGUAUUCCGGAGGGCAUGCCUGUCCGAGCGUCAUUGCUGCCCUCAAGCACGGCUUGUGUGUUGGGCCCCGCCCCCCGGUCCCGGGGGGCGGGCCCGAAAGGCAGCGGCGGCACCGCGUCCGGUCCUCGAGCGUAUGGGGCUUUGUCACCCGCUCUGUAGGCCCGGCCGGCGCCUGCCGAUCAACCAAACUUUUUUCCAGGUUGACCUCGGAUCAGGUAGGGAUACCCGCUGAACUUAAGCAUAUCAAUAAGCGGAGGA